CCCCCCCCCCCCAGGCCCGGGAGGCCCGGGAGGCCCGGGAGAAGGCGGCCCGAGGCGCAGGUGCUGCGGGGAGCGCCCACGGGCCGACGCCAAAGCCCGGGGCGCCUCUGGGCGCGCGCGCGCGUGGAUGCGCGAGGAUGCGCCUGAGCGCGCGCCCCGAGCGCCCGGGCCCACGUGUGGAGUCGGGAAACGCCGCGCGGGCGGGGCCGGGCUCGGGAAUGUGGCGGGGGCCGGGCCGCCGGAAGCAGCCCGGCUCGGGGAGGCGCCUCCCCGAAGGGGCAGGAAGGUGAUGUAAAGAUCCUGAAACAAACCUGCUACCAUUAUGUCUAUUUUGUUGAUCAAUCAGUCCAGUAUGCUUAGUUGAAAGAGCUGGGGCUCCAAGAAGAAAAUGAAGGUCAUCUGUAUCAAGCAAUCUCAACUGAAUAUACUAUUUCAGAGUGUUUCCUCCAGGAAGAAAAGAAGAUUUGAGAUGAUUUGUCUAAAUGAUUUGCAUAAUUAUUUAAAAUUUGGCCUCUCGUAUCCUGUUACACAGUAUGCAACUUUCCCCCCUUCGAUUCCCCUUGUGUUUCAAUUUCUUUCUCCCUCCCUUCCCCUCAUCCCCCUCUAGAGGCAAAUAAUUAAAUAUAUGUUAAACAUGUCCAGUUCUCCUACACAUAUUUCCAUGAUUAUCAUGUUGCUCAAGAAAAAUCAGAUCAAAAAGGGGAAAAAAUGAGAAAGAAAG